rnacentral:rRNA from 1 species
GAGUUUGAUCCUGGCUCAGGACGAACGCUGGCGGCGUGCCUAACACAUGCAAGUCGAGCGGAAAGGCUCCUUUCGGGAGUACUCGAGCGGCGAACGGGUGAGUAACACGUGGGUAAUCGUGCCCAGGACACAGGAAUAACCAGUGGAAACGCUGGCUAAUGCCUGAUGAAGUGCCGGCCCUGCGGGGCUUGGUACCAAAGGUAGCUUCGGCCUCCGGUCUUGGAUGAGCCCGCGGCCCAUUAGCUUGUUGGCGGGGUAACGGCCCACCAAGGCGACGAUGGGUAGCUGGUCUGAGAGGACGAUCAGCCACACUGGGGGCUGAGACACGGCCCAGACUCCUACGGGAGGCAGCAGUGGGGGAAUCUUGCGCAAUGGGCGAAAAGCCUGACGCAGCAACGCCGCGUGCGGG